AGGGCUUGAACUCAUGAACUGUGAGAUCAUGACCUCAGCUGAAGUUGGAGGCUCAACCUACUGAGCCACCCAAGUGCCCCAUAUCUCUUUCUUGGCAUGAUGGUAUCAUUCUGUCAAUCCUAUUUCUUCCACAAAGUAGGAAACAUGGCUGUCAGCAACCCUGAUUUCAUACAUCUUACAGCUUCACUACCGGAGAGGAAAUGCUUGUUGUUCCCUUAUUUCAGUUCAAAAAAUCCUGGAGAAGAAUCUUGGCCAAUCAGUAAUGGCCAGGGCAGCAGUGUCGCAUGCCACAGAUAAGGCCUUUAGGGGCCCAGAGUUAGGUUUCCAGAGACAGGGCCAAGUGUUCACUUGGUGGCGAAUGAGGUGUUUCUUCCAGUGUGGUGCCUGGUACCUGGCACGUUGUUCAGGCAUAAUCUUUGUGAUUCCUUAUCAUGUGUGGAGGCCUGGCAGGGGGAGGAUCAACAAGGGGAAGCUUGGCUGAGAAGCUGUAUCAAUUGAGUGUAAGAGGGACUCCCCACUUAGAGUAUAAGCUUAGAUAUCACCAAUAUUUACACUUCUAUAGUAAGUGAACUGAUUUUCAGCUUAGCACAUAGCCAACCAGAUAAUAAUUUUUCCUAGUUUUAUUGUGCCAGCGUGGCCAAGAGACUAUGGGAUGUAAAUAGACUGUGUGCAUCUUAUUGGAAGUGUCUUCAGAGGCAGUAGAGUGCCCUUCUCUACCUCUCUGUGGACUGGAAUGUAGACAUGAUGGCUGGCAUUGGAGCAGCUGUCUUGUACAUUGAAGAGGAAACUGAUGAUGGCAGAGUAACAAUAUUUAAGGAACAUGAAGUUAGCAUACCACAAAGGUCUAUGUGCGAGAGAAAUUAACUAUUUAAGCCACUGUUUUUUGGCUUUUGGUUUCUCACAGCCAAACAUAAUACUGCGUCCCUCCUAUGCAGGAGAGGAGCAAAAGUUUCUGUUAACAAUAGCAGUAGUAGGGCCCAUAGGUAACCUCCCAGUCCCUGCCACCUGCAAAUCUAUCAGCAACAGUUCCUGUCUGUGUCCCCAUUUCAGUUGUCUGGGGAAUGUUGGUUCCUGCCUUUCCUGCCCCCACUUUCUUCCCAGUAUGUUUUCCCAUAGCACAUUUCCCGCUCUCUCUGCCCACCCUAAAGGAAGAAUCUGGGUCCACGUGACACUGCUUCUACUGGUCAGGCCCCUCUCCACACUCUUUUCCUCUGCCACCAUUCUCAAGUGGCUCCUUCUUUGGCCCCAAAGAGGGUAUAUUUGACAUGGACCACAGGCUGGGGGCUGGGGAGGGGGGGAUUUCUGGAUGCUGUGUGUUUUCAUGGGCCAUUGUAUAGGUCCAUGUGUGCUGUGUGUGACUGGAGUUGUGUCCAAUGCCAACAUAUUUAAAUCAGAAUGGAUGGUGACCAAAAGAACAGAGCAGGGUCUGGAAGUCAUCUUCCUGUGGGUGACCAGGGUACAAGGGGACACUCAAAGGCUUGGGGCAGCUAUUUUUAACUGUUAAUAGAACUAAGUCAAUAUUUUAACAAGUAGCUCAGAUAUAUUGUGUAUACUACCUAAAUAUCAGCCAUGGUGGUAUCAGCCUGUGUGUGAGUGUGUGUGUGUGUGUGUGUGUGUGUGUGUGUGUGUGUGUGUAAGACUUAGGGUACUGGUACAGCCCAAGGAGAAGGCUCUGAGGGGUGUAGGACUCUCCCAAAGUCAUAUCCUCAGGCAGUGGUAGAUGGUACACACAUCCCUUAAGUUCUCGACCUUAGUGACAAGCAGGCUGGGGCAGAUAAGUGCGCUGGGGACAGGGGCUGACCUCCACAAGAGGGCCAAAGAUACUUGGGACAUCUGGCGGGGACACAUGACAGUAUUGAGGAGCAUUAGAGUGAUGGAGAAGACAUCAGAUUCAGAGUAGGGAGGUCAGGGCAAAAUCCCCCCACAUACAUUCACCCACCACUGCCACCACCCACCUCACCAAAGUCGUCAAAGAUACUGGCCCAUUUGGUUGAGUUGGGCUGGAUCUUUUAUUUCAUGUCAUAUCCUCCACUCUCACCACUCUUCUCUAGCCUGAAGCUUCUUGGCUUAAGAGGCUGCUAUGGGGUCAGCAUUUGCCAUCCUUCACAAUCUGGAUGUCCUGUUUGGUUUUCCUAGGAUCAAAGGA